rnacentral:rRNA from 1 species
GACGAACGCUGGCGGCGUGCUUAACACAUGCAAGUCGAACGGAAAGGCCUGCUUUCCCUUGUGGAUUGCGGGUACUCGAGUGGCGAACGGGUGAGUAACACGUGAGUGAUCUGCCCCCAACUUGGGUAUAAGCCUGGGAAACUGGGUCUAAUUCCCGAUAGGACUGCAGGGUGGUGCCUGUGGUGGAAAACGAUUUUCUAGUGGUUGGGGAUGAGCUCGCGGCCUAUCAGCUUGUUGGUGGGGUAAUGGCCUACCAAGGCGGCGACGGGUAGCCGGCCUGGGAGGGUGGACGGCCACAUUGGGACUGAGAUACGGCCCAGACUCCUACGGGAGGCAGCAGUGGGGAAUAUUGCGCAAUGGGCGGAAGCCUGAUGCAGCGACGCCGCGUGGGGGAUGACGGCCUUCGGGUUGUAAACUCCUUUCGGCCGCGAGGAAGCCACCUGGUUGGAAGGGUGGUGACGGUAGUGGUAGAAGAAGCACCGGCUAACUACGUG